CCUACGGGAGGCAGCAGUGAGGAAUAUUGGUCAAUGGGCGCGAGCCUGAACCAGCCAAGUAGCGUGAAGGAUGACUGCCCUACGGGUUGUAAACCUCUUUUACCAAGGAACAAAGUGCGGCACGCGUGCCUCCUCGUAUGUACCCUAUGAAUAAGCAUCGGCUAAUUCCGUGCCAGCAGCCGCGGUAAUACGGAGGAUCCGAGCGUUAUCCGGAUUUAUUGGGUUUAAAGGGAGCGUAGACGGGUUGUUAAGUCAGGUGUGAAAGUUUGCGGCUCAACCGUAAAAGUGCAGUUGAUACUGGCGGUCUUGAGUACGGUUAGGGUAGACGGAAUUCGUGGUGUAGCGGUGAAAUGCUUAGAUAUCACGAAGAACUCCGAUUGCGAAGGCAUCGUACUGAAGUAAGACUGACGUUGAGGCUCGAAAGUGUGGGUAUCAAACAGGAUUAGAUACCCGGGUAGUC
rnacentral:rRNA from 1 species